rnacentral:lncRNA from 1 species
GGUCACUCAGUGGUCACUCCAUGGUCACUUCCAGGGGUCACUCUGUGGUCACUCCAAAGCCAUUCCAGUGGUCACUCAGUGGUCACUCAGUGGUCACUCAGCGGUCACUCAGUGGUCACUCACUGGUCAGUGGUCACUCAGCGGUCACUCACUGGUCACUCACUGGUCAGUGGUCACUCAGUGGUCACUCAGGGUCACUCCCGGCCGCAGAACGCCGCGUGCGCCCCCAGUCCGGCCGCUCCGGCCGCAGCGAUGGCGACUUCGGCCCCCAGAGUGACCACAGCGAUGGCCAGCGGCUGCUGGGGGAGGGGCACCUGCGGACAGGGGUCAGAGGUCACGCGGGGUCACUCGGGGGUCACUCGGGGGUCACUCAGUGGUCACUCAGGGUCAGUGGUCACUCAGUGGUCACUCAUUGGUCACUCAGGGGUCAUUUUGGGCCAUUUUUGGGGCAUUUUGGGUCAGUGGUCACUCAGGGGUCACUCAAUGGUCACUCAUUGGUCAGUGGCCACUCAGGGGUCACUCUGGGGUCACUCGGGGUCAUUGGUCACUCAAGGGUCACUCAGGGGUCAUUUAGGGGCCAUUUUGGGUCAGUGGUCACUCAGGGGUCACUCAGGCGUUACUCAGGGUCAUUGGUCACUCAGUGGUCACUCAGGGGUCACUCAAUGGUCACUCAUUGGUCAGUGGUCACUCAUUGGUCACUCAAUGGCCACUCAUUGGUCAGUGGUCACUCCGGGGUCACUCAGUGGUCACUCAGUGGUCACUCAGGGUCACUCAGGGGUCACUCAUUGGUCACUCAGCGGUCACUCAGGGGUCACUCAUUGGUCACUCAGGGGUCACCGCGGGGUCAAAGGUCACUGACCUGCUCGCCCAGGUUGCUGAAGGCGUUCCCGUAGGCCCCGCCCCCCACAAGCCCCUCCCCCAGCGCCAGCGCCGCGGCCACGCCCAGCCCGGGCAGGAGGUGAUUGACAGCCACGGCGGCCAAUAGGAACGAGG